rnacentral:rRNA from 1 species
UGGGGAAUAUUGCACAAUGGGCGCAAGCCUGAUGCAGCCAUGCCGCGUGUAUGAAGAAGGCCUUCGGGUUGUAAAGUACUUUCAGCGGGGAGGAAGGGAGUAAAGUUAAUACCUUUGCUCAUUGACGUUACCCGCAGAAGAAGCACCGGCUAACUCCGUGCCAGCAGCCGCGGUAAUACGGAGGGUGCAAGCGUUAAUCGGAAUUACUGGGCGUAAAGCGCACGCAGGCGGUUUGUUAAGUCAGAUGUGAAAUCCCCGGGCUCAACCGGGGAGGGUCAUUGGAAACUGGGGGACUUGAGUGCAGAAGAGGAGAGUGGAAUUCCAGGUGUAGCGGUGAAAUGCGUAGAGAUCUGGAGGAAUACCGGUGGCGAAGGCGGCCCCCUGGACGAAGACUGACGCUCAGGUGCGAAAGCGUGGGGAGCAAACAGG